rnacentral:piRNA from 4 species
CUCACUACUGCACUUGACUAGUCUU